GAUGAACGCUAGCUACAGGCUUAACACAUGCAAGUCGAGGGGAAACGAUAGAGAAAGCUUGCUUUUUCUAGGCGUCGACCGGCGCACGGGUGAGUAACGCGUAUCCAACCUUCCCAUCACUUGGGGAUAACCUUGCGAAAGUAAGACUAAUACCCAAUGACGUCCAUAGAAGACAUCUGAAAUGGAUUAAAGAUUUAUCGGUGAUGGCUGGGGAUGCGUCUGAUUAGCUUGUUGGCGGGGUAACGGCCCACCAAGGCGACGCUAGGUAGGGGUUCUGAGAGGAAGGUCCCACACAUUGGAACUGAGACACGGUCCAAACUCCUACGGGAGGCAGCAGUGAGGAAUAUUGGUCAAUGGACGAGAGUCUGAACCAGCAAAGUAGCGUGCAGGAUGACGGCCCUAUGGGUUGUAAACUGCUUUUAUAAGGGAAUAAAGUGGGAGUCGUGACUCCUUUUGCAUGUACCUUAUGAAUAAGGACCGGCUAAUUCCGUGCCAGCCGCCGCGGUAA
rnacentral:rRNA from 1 species